CCUUUUCUAGGGCCGCUCCAGCGGCAUAUGGAGGUUCCCAGGCUAGGAGUCAAAUAGGAGCUGUAGCCACCAGCCUACACCACGGCCACAGCAACGUAGAAUCCGAGCCACGUCUGCGACCCACACCACAGCUCACGGCAACGCCAGAUCCUUAACCACUGAGCAAGGCCAGGGAUCGAACCUGCAACCUCACGGGUCCUAGUCGGAUUCGUUACCCACUGUGCCACGACGGGAACUCCACUCCUGGAUAUUUUUUAAUACUGUUGUGAAUGAAGUUUUUUAAAUUUCAUUUUUGAAUCAUUUAUUGUUAGUAUAUUAAAACACAAUUGAUUUGUCUAUAUCAAUCAUGUAUCCUGUGAUAUUGCUAAAUUCUCUUAGUCCUAUUAGCAUUUUUUAUUGAUUCCUUAGGAUUUUCCAUGUCCAUGGUCAUGUGAUCUGCGAACAAAUACAGUUUUAGUCCUUCGUUUACAACCUGUUCUCUUUUAUUUACCUUACUUUAUCAUACUGAGUAGACUCUCCAGUGUGAUAGGAACUAGAAAUGAUGAAUGUAGAAUUGCCUUCUUCCUGAUCGUAGAUAGAAACAUGGAGUCUUUCAAGAUUGAGUAUUUCGAUGACUAAUUUUGUGUGUCAGCUGAGUUAGGCUAAGUUACAUCUUUGGUCAAACAUCAGUGUAGGUAUGACUGUGAAUGGUAUUUUCCAGAUGUGAUUAACAUUUAACUCAGUAGACCUUGAUAAAACACCUUCUGUACUGUGGGUGGGCCUAAUCCAAUCAGUCAAAGGCCUUGAUUAACAAAGACAAGUCCUCUGAGAAAGAAAGAAUUUGGCCUCCAGACUGCUGGUAGGCUCCAGCAGUCUGCUGGUCUGCCCUGUAAAUUUGGGACUUUCCAGAUCCCAUAGUCAGGUGAAGCAAUUGCUAUAAAUAAAUACAUGCAUACAUAAAUAAAUAAAUUCAUGGUAUAUGUAUAUGUACACACACACACACACCCUGCUCUACUAAUUCUAUGUCUCUAGAGAACCCUAAUACAAAUAUAUUGUUGCUGAAACUUGAAACUCAGCAUCCGUCCACCAUUGCCAAAAUAGAAAUGCAGAGACACAGUUUGGGGUGAAGGAGAAAAAGACAGCUUUGUGCUUUGCCAAGGAAAGGGGGCCACAGCAGGAGGUGGUUUUGUAGUUUGGGGAGUGGAAAAUAGGGCCACAGAUAAGGAUCAUAGCAGGUGUUUAGAGCCUCCCAGGACUGGUUCUGGCGGUCCUCUUUCUUCCUGGAAUAAAGAAUGCUUCAUCAUUUGUUGGGGGUUUUAGUUCUGCAGAAAGACUCAAAGAUAUUGUUAUGUCUAUUCCUUAAGGAGGAACCGGGACCCUACCCCAAGGCUGCACUAUUGUCUCUUGACUUCUCUUCCCUGGUCUUUUCAUUCCUUCGCUUCCUGGAUUACAGCUACCCUUUCAAGCUCAGGGAAGAUCCUGGAGGCUGAAAUUCAUUUCCUCAAAACAAGAAGUGGAGGACACAGAAAGGCUUGUGUGCCCAGUGCUAGGUUUGUCCCAGGAAAACAAGACUUAGCUCUAGGCUCUCGCCCGGCUUCUGGAGAGACAUGACGAAGACAUGACUAAAUCUUCCCUAAAAUCAUGUGACCCAAUCUUAAAGACUACCCCACUACCCAGGAGAAUGUCUAAACGUCUGUUCAUAUCCUACUAACAAUUCCCCCAAACUGGUCUGUUCCUUUUCACCCUAUUUACAUAAGAAAUGGCCAAUCAGCUUCUGCACAGAAACCCCCUUUCCUGGCACCCACAUAUAACCUCCCUCCUUGACCAGCUGACUGCUGACCUCCCCUUGUGAGUCAGCCCGGCAGUACACCCUACUAAUAAAGUUUUUUAUGCCUGAACACAGGUCUUGUCCUUUUGGCCAAACUUACACCCAGGAGCCUCCCAGGGCUCCGCUUGGUUAUAAUAUUAGCUGUGGUUUUUUUUAUAGGUGUCCUUAAUUAGAGACAAUUCGUGGUGUUUUUUUGUUUGUUUUUGUUUUUAAUCAUGAAUGGAUUUGUAUUUUGACAAAUGCUUUCUCCGGAUCUAUUAAAAUGGAGUAUUUGUUCUUUAGCUUGUUAAUAUAAUAAAUGACAUUAAUUGAUUUUCAAAUGCUGAACCAGGCUUGUGUUCUCAGGAAAAACUCAGUUGGUCGUGACUUACAAUCUUUUAAAAAGAUGGUUGGAAUUCAUUUAUAACAAUUUUGUUCAAGGAUUUUUAUAUUUAUGGUCAUGAGGAAUAUUUUUCUGUAAUACCUGGGAACUGAAGUUUGGCAGCUGUAGAUGGGGCUUUGUACUCUCUGUAGUGAAUCUGACUUGCUAGGCUGUGAGCAGGAGAGUGGGGUAAGUAGUACAAAACACAUGGUGACCUAUGAACUUCUUGGAUGGGAACAGUGAAGACAGCCUGAACCACCCAACAGAGACAUUCAGCCAUAUACGUAAGCACUCUCAUGCAUAUUUGUGAAAUGUAUUACACAUGAUAUGUAGAUGUGGAUAUGGGAAAAAACUAGAAAAGAAUACCUGUCUCCUUUCACUACUCUAUAUUCAUUAGAAAAAAAAUAUUGGAUAAACUAUUAACAAGUGCCUCAGGAUUACCCUGUCAGUAUUGCAAUGUGUGGGGAAAGGACUUUGGGUAGGAUGCAGGACCUAGGUCCCUGCAAUGGCACUGGAUUGAAUAUAUAGGGCCUACCCCUUCAAAAUGGAGCUUAAUCUAUGAUUAUUAUAUUUUUCUGUGAUCACAGUCUUACUUCAGAGGUAAGAAGGGUAAGCAAAGCUCUUUGCCAUUGCAUUGAAAACCAGAUCAUAAUAAUAACUCUGCUAUUGAACCAGCAAGCAAUUAUAAGGAUUCUUUUUUACAGCAUCAUUUCAAAUGUGGAAUAUUGGAAAGAAUCUAAGUGUCCAACUGUUGGGAACUUGGUAAGCAAACAAUGGCAAAUUCAUACGAUAGACUGUUUUUCAGCUAUAAAAAUGAUGCUGUGGAUGGGGAGGCAAUAACUUGGAAAGAUAUUAAAAUAUAUUAUUAAGUGAAGAGAGCAAGUUAUACAACAUCUAUGUUUGAUUGGAUUUUUUCUAGGAAAUACUUACCUAGUCACUUAGCUGCCAUCAGUUACCACCUACUGAAGGAUAUAGUCCUUGAGUGUAUAAACUGGUUAUCUCAGUAUAGAAAGAUUAUGACUCCUUUGUGUUUUAUCCUCCUUUGCUUACCUUUAUUUCAAUGGUAUUUUUUUUCUUUGCUGACUAUCACUUCUUAAAAUAAGAGAAAUAAAUGGAAUAUACUGCAAUGAGACAGAGAGUAAGAGUGGGACAGGUAGAGUGCCAGCAUGCUAGAGAGAGUGUGUCUGGGAGAGAAGAAAGAGUGCAUUAACUCAGAGAUGAACUGGUGUCUCCAUACCACUGCUGAAUCUAACUCUGAACUCGACAUUUGACUUCAAUCCACUUCCUACACUAAAUAAAUUCAAACCAUGUUCCUGAUGAAUGACUAGUCCUUUAGUUUAUGAGGUGUCUCCCUACAGCUCAUACCUAUAACGUGACAUCAACUCAUGCCUGUGUCUGAGCUCCACUUGGACCCCACCUCCCUCCAUCCAUGCAGUCAUGAUAUAAGAAGGUUUUGUUUUAAGUCAGAGGUUGGACCAUAGAUAAUGUACCAGGCUGCAUCAAUUUUAUGAUAGGUUAGGACUGUUCACAAUACACAUAACUACAUCAUGCAGCAAACUUCCAGUCUAUAAUGGCAGUACAAGCUAAUUGCCAGCUGUCAUUCAUUAAUGCUCUUAACUUUUCUUUUUUUGACACUCAGGUCAAUUUUCUCAAUUAUAUUACCUGCUCUGACAUAUAUUAUAUAAACAUGAAUAUAAAUUUUUUUGUAUAUUGAAACAUUUAAGUAAAAUUCAGUAACUGAGAUUUUAAUAUUUUGGGAAUUGACUUUUAAAUUUAUAAUUUUACUUCUUAAUGUUAAAUGUCAUACAUUCAAAAUUAAAGCUGGUUUUCCAAAUUCUUUUCAUUUAUUGAAGCGUUUCAUUUGUUCAUUCUAUGUCAGGAUAAUGAAAAACAAAAUUUAACUCACCCGGUUCAGCUAAAGAGUUUAAUGAAGGGAUGGCGCUAUGGGCUGAAUGGUUGGGCCACUCGAAAAUUCACGUGUUGAAACGCUACUCCUCAAGGUUACAGCAAAAACAGAACAAAACAAACAAGUCAUCUAGGAA
rnacentral:lncRNA from 1 species